rnacentral:tRNA from 1 species
GCCCGGAUGGCGGAAUAGGUAGACGCGCUGGUCUCAAAAACCAGUGGACUUAACAUCCAUGCCGGUUCGAUUCCGGCUCCGGGUA